rnacentral:pre_miRNA from 1 species
AGGGGAGCAUUUCCUGAGGACAGAUUUUAUUAAACACUGUCAUGGAUAUGCUCUCUUUA